rnacentral:lncRNA from 1 species
AUGAAGGUCGAGCUGUGCAGUUUCACUGGGUACAAGAUCUACCCAGGACAUGGGCAGCGCUAUGUGCUAUGCCAGAACCAAUGGGGAAGGUUUUCCAGUUUCUUAAUGCAAAAUGUGAGUCCUCAUUCCUUUCCAAAAGGAAUCCUCGGCUAGUAAACUGGACUGUCCUCUACAGAAGAAAACACAAGAAAGGACAGUCAGAAGAAAUCCAAAAGAAAAGAACCUGCCGUGCAGUCAAAUUCCAGCGAGCCGUCACUGGGGGGUCUCUUGCUGAUAUAAUGUCCAAGAGGAAUCAGAAACCAGAAGUUAGGAAAGCCCAGCGAGAGCAGGCUAUCAGGGCUGCCAAGGAAGCAAAAAAGGCUAGGCAGGCAUCAAAG